rnacentral:rRNA from 1 species
UACGGAGGGGGCUAGCGUUGUUCGGAAUUACUGGGCGUAAAGCGCGCGUAGGCGGCUCAUCAAGUCGGGGGUGAAAUCUUUCGGCCUAACCGGAAAAGUGCCUUCGAUACUGGUGAGCUUGAGCGAGGUAGGGGCAGAUGGAACUUCCGGUGGAGCGGUGAAAUGUGUUGAUAUCGGAAGGAACGCCGGUGGCGAAAGCGAUCUGCUGGACCUCUUCUGACGCUGAGGCGCGAAAGCUAGGGGAGCAAACGGG